CUAAAAAUACAAAAAUUAGCUGGGCAUGGUGGUGUGCACCUGUAGUCCGAGCUACUUGGGAGGCUGUGGCAGGAUAAUCACUUCAAACCAGGAGGCUGAGGUUGCAGCGAGCUGAGACCACACCACUGUACUCCAGCCUAGGCGACAUAGUGAAACUCCAUCUCAAAAAAAAAAAAAAAAAGUUUUCCAGUGACGGGAAGCAAAAGAAGGAGAAGUAACUUAAAGAGAAUACGCAUCAGAAAAAAGGUUUUAUGGCCAGCCAUGGUGGCUCACUCACACCUGUAAUCCCAGCACUUUGGGAGGUCAAGGCAGACGGAUCACUUGAAUCCAGGAGUUCGAGACCAGCCUGACCAACAUGGUGAAACCCUGUUUCUACCCAAAAUACAAAAAUUAGCCAGGUGUGGUGGCACAUGCUUAUAGUCCCAGAUACUUGGCAGGCUGAGGCACGAGAAUCGCUUGAACCCAGGAGGCAGAGGUUGCGGUGAGCCGAGAUGGCACCACUGCACUUCAGCAUGGGCGACAGAGGUUGACAAGAAAAGGUUUUUGCUUUGUUUCGCUUUCUCAGAUGAGAGAUGCUAGCCCAUCUUUGGGAUCAGAAAUCAGAAGUUAUUAGAAAGAGAGAGAUGAUGGUGUGGAGAAGGAAGGAUUAGAUCCAAAGGGCAGGAGUGAAAUGAAGGAAGGAGGGACACUCCCACUGUUGAAACUGGAAGGAAGAAAAAAAAAGUACAGGUGCAGAUUGAAUCAUAGAUUUGGGAAUCAGGCCGGGCGUGGUGGUUCAAGCCUGUAAUCCCAGCGCUCUGGUGGGCAGAUCACCUGAGGUCAGGAGUUCCAGACCAACCUAGCCAACGUGGCGAAACCCCAUCUCUACUAAAAAUACAAAAUUAGCUGGGUGUGGUGGUGGGCAUCUGUAGUCUCAGCUCCUCGGGAGGCUGAGGCACAAGAAUCGCUUGAACCUGGGAGGCAGAGGAUGCAGUAAGCCAAGAUCAUGCCACUGCACUCCAGCCUGAGCGACAGAGUGAGGGAAAAAAAAGGAUGAAAAAAAAAAAGAUUUGGGAAUCAAAAGAUAAGCUAUUUCUGGUAGUCUCUAUUUUCCCGGAGAAGUAGGCAACACCCUCAGUUGGGAGUAGAGGGUUGUGGAAAAGACGUGGAAGUUCAGAGAAAAAAAGUAGAAAGUUGAGAAUUUGUAAAGUAAGGAAGAAAAUAAUUUGGGAAAGAGGAUGUAUAAUAUAGGAAACUGGGCCAGGCACGGUGGUUCACGCCUGUAAUCCCAGCGCUUUGGGAGGCCGAGGAGGGUGGAUCACCAGGUCAAGAAGUUGAGACCAUCCUGGCUAACACAGUGAAACCCCGUCUCUACUAAAAAUCGUACAAAAUAUUAGCCAGGCGGCUGGGCGUAGUGGCUCACGCCUGUAAUCCCAGCACUUUGGGAGUCCAAGGCGGGCGGAUCCCGAGGUCAGGAGAUCGAGACCAUCCUGGCUAACACGGUGAAAACCCUUCUCUACUAAAAAUACCCUGUAGCCCCAGCUACUCGGAAGGCUGAGGCAGGAGAAUGGCCUGAACCCAGGAGGCGGAGCUUGCAGUGAGCAGAGAUCGCGCCCCUGCACUCUAGCCUGGGUAACAGAGCAAGACUCCGUCUCAAAAAAAAAAAAAAAAAAAAAAACGAAAAAAAACAAAAUAUUAGCCAGGCAUGGUGGCACGUGCCUGUAGUCCCAGCUACUCGGGAGGCUGAGGCAGGAGAAUCACUUGAACCCAGGAGGUGGAGGUUGCAGAGAACCAAGAUUGCACCACUGCCCUCCAGCCUGGGUGACAGAGUAAGACUCAGAAAAAAAAAAAAAAAAAAGAGGAAACUGGCAGGAAAGAGGUCAUGCUGGGGUGGACUAUGAGAGGCAAUAAUUCGAAAUUAUAUCGUGGAAAUGCUUCAACCUCUACCAAGACCUACUUCAAAAGGAAAAUCUUGUGUUGAGUAGCAGUUAAAAAUGGAAUAAGAUAUCAGACCUUCAACCAAAUAGUUCUUAAUAGCUCAAAACUACUAUAGGAUAGCAAUUUUAUUCCCAAAUUAUUCUAGAACUGAAUAUCUGAAACUCAGUGACCAAAAGCCAGUCAACCAAUCUUCCACAGCCUAAUACACACACAUAAAAUAUACCUCUGGCAUUACAUUAUAACUUCCCCCAUCAAACAAAACAGGAAGAGUGGUUAUGUUGGGCUGAUAGUGUAAGAUGGUCUGUCAUGUAGCGUUUCCGUUAUAUUCUGAAUUUGAGUUGGUAUACCAUGUGACAGUUCUUUAUAUAUAUGUUUUCAACACCGCUAUGACAAGAGUGUCUUUCUGUUUUUGCGUCAGUGUCUCAUGAAAAGAAGACAUAAAGAAUAUUCAAAAGAAAUUUUAAGAAUCUUUGUUAUCUGAAGGUCGUAUCUUUAGUGCAUGUUCUGUCUCUCAUAGUUGCUAAACUCUAGCUGCAGCUCUUCUCUCAGAGAACUGCUCUGUCCUGCCCAUCUAUCCCAUUAUGACUUUCAGUUGUGAGAUGAAGAUAUCUGUUUGAGAAAAAAAAUUGGUUCCUCUAAAUAGAGAAAUGUCCAAAUAGCUACUUUAGUCUCUUCUUUAAUCUCAAGUUACAUCAGAGAAAAGAUUUCAGCAUGUAUAAAACAUCCAUAUCUACAGUGACCUUGGUGUUUUUCUCAAUGCAUAAAUCAUCACAUUUCUUCAUUUUCUAGUGCAUGAAAUAAUUAAACUUAAAAUAUCUUCUUUAAUUCUAGACACAAUUAAUUCAAUGCUAUUAUUUUU
rnacentral:lncRNA from 1 species